rnacentral:rRNA from 1 species
AGCAGCAGCCACGGGAAUACAGAGGGUGCGAGCGUUAAUCGGAUUUACUGGGCGUAAAGCGUGCGUAGGCGGCUUCUUAAGUCGGAUGUGAAAUCCCUGAGCUUAACUUAGGAAUUGCAUUCGAUACUGGGAAGCUAGAGUAUGGGGGAGGAUGGUAGAAUUCCAGGUGUAGCGGUGAAAUGCGUAGAGAUCUGGAGGAAUACCGAUGGCGAAGGCAGCCAUCUGCCUAAUACUGACGCUGAGGUACGAAAGCAUGGGGAGCAAACAGGAUUAGAUACCCCUGUAGUCCCUGUCUCUUAUACA